rnacentral:rRNA from 1 species
UUUUGCCUACGUGGGGCAGCAGUGGGGGAUAUCGCACAAUGGGGGAAACCCUGAUGCAGCGACGCCGCGUGAGCGAUGAAGUAUUUCGGUAUGUAAAGCUCUCUCAGCAGGGAAGAAAAUGACGGUACCUGACUAAGAAGCCCCGGCUAACUACGUGCCAGCAGCCGCGGUAAUACGUAGGGGGCAAGCGUUAUCCGGAUUUACUGGGUGUAAAGGGAGCGUAGACGGCAGUGCAAGUCUGAAGUGAAAGGCAAGGGCUCAACCCUUGGACUGCUUUGGAAACUGUGCUGCUGGAGUGUCGGAGG